GAAGUGUUUAUGACGUCUACUCUCAUGUUAAUUCCUUAUUGUAAAAUGACGAAUGAAACUCAUGAUGCAGAAUUUAGAUGAUUCACAUAUUCGUGCUCAGAUCACUCCGAUAGUACUGAUUACGUUACGACUCAAAGCAUAAAUUCAAGUCGGACUUAUGGUUCAGUAUUACGAAUGUAUGAUAGUUGUCUAAAUAAUAAUACCUGUUUAUGUAUAGAAACUACGUAAAACAAUGGAAUAUGCUUAUAAAAAGUUUUCUAGUUUCAUUCAUAUAUUGACAUCAAUCGUACCAAAGUUAGUAUUUAAAUAAUUAGUAUUGGUGUAGUUUCAUGCGUUCAAAUGGCGAUAUAAAUUGAAAAUCCCGCCGAUAACGAAAUGCGGUCUAUCGUUUUUAUGCUUUCUGAACACUGAAAAUGUUCGAUCAAGAAGAAUUCACGAUUACUUACAUCCUAUUUUUAGUUAUGUUAUAGAGUGAAAUUUAUUUGAAAACCCUUUAUAUAACGUUUAAAAUAAAAAAUAGUAAUACUAGAGAUAAUAUGUACUCAAAUAGUGAAACUAUCGAUACUAUCGAUAGUGUUACCUUUGACAAUAGACAAAACAAUUCUUACAGAUCGCUAGAGGAAUUAAGAUAUAUCUAUAUGUUUUAAUACAUUAAAAAUUUAUGUUAAUCAUAUAUUAAAACAAUAUAUUAAUAAAAAAGAAAUCACAUUUAAUGUAUGAAAGGUUGUUAUUUCAAUACCGUUGACAUCUGCACGCUCGACGAAGGGAGAUCGAGCUUAAAGCUUGAAGUUUAUUUAUACCAAACAAUGACUUUGUCCCUCAUUAUGACGCAGUUUAAAUGAAAUCGUACGGCAAAGGAUUAAUUAGUGAUUCAAAAGACAAAAAUUACGCAGUUACAAAGAUUUCAGAAAUAUUGGGAAGAAAUCGGUGUCAAAUCGGAAUCCCUCCUCCUGAAGUAUUGCAAAUCGUUGCACAGUGCUGAAUUUGAAUGAGGAUUCGGAACAAAAAUCAAAAUUCGCUGGACACGUUCGCACGUUCGGUCAUGUCGGGUAAAUGGCUAUAUUUUUCUGCUUUAUGAUAGAUAUGAGGAGACGCUUUUAAUGGAUAUACUACGCACCACCUCAGACGAGUCCCACAUAUCCCACCGAUAAAAUAAUCACCAGGUUGUGUUUGUAUAUACCAAAGAAAUAUCUAUAGAUUUUUACAUUCCCUUUCAUUUCGAACAAGAAUUGUUGUUUAGUUACCGGCAUAUUUUCUAAACGAAAUCAAUGGUGAAAUUUCUAUGAUUCAUCAAUAGAUGUAAAACGUAAGAAAUUCAUGUAGUUGUUCCAAUAACGUGAAACUCAUAAAAACUAAAAUAUCCAUAUAUUUUCAGGUUUCCUUCCAUUUUAAAGAAAUUAACUUAAAGGUGAAGGGGAGAUAUCAUCAAUAUUUGAAAUAUUGCAAAAACUUUGAAAAUAAAAGAAUACAACUUAAGACAGAAUAAUUACCAAAGUUAUAACUGUAUAUAUAGACACAGAAAACAUUGCAACUGGACCAAUGGAAAAAGAAGUAAAAAGAAUGAUCGCAAUAUUGUUAUGAAAUCUCCACCUAAAGAGUAAUACAAUCUUAUCUCA